rfam:Triticum urartu cultivar G1812 contig696504, whole genome shotgun sequence.
CUCGUGCUCCUUCCGUCCGGAAAAGCUUGUCCCUCAAAUGGAUGUAUCUAGCACCAACACUAACUUGGUGCUAGAUACAUCCAUUUGAGGGACAACCUUUUUCGGACGGAGGGAGUAUGAU